UACGGAGGGGGCUAGCGUUGUUCGGAAUUACUGGGCGUAAAGCGCGCGCAGGCGGCGGUGUAAGCAUGGCGUGAAAGCCCCAGGCUCAACCUGGGAGGGUCGUCGUGGACUGCACCGCUUGAGGGCGGUAGGGGCUGGUGGAAUGCCUGGUGUAGUGGUGAAAUGCGUAGAGAUCAGGCGGAACACCCGUGGCGAAGGCGGCCAGCUGGGCCGUCCCUGACGCUGAGGCGCGAAGGCGUGGGGAGCGAACGGG
rnacentral:rRNA from 1 species